rnacentral:rRNA from 1 species
CUCGACAAAGCUUCAGAGUGAAACACCUCAAAAUAAUAAUAGUCUGACAUCCAUACAAAGUCCUAUUUUCUCUUAGUUACAUAUAUGUCAGUGACAUCGACAAUAUAAUUAAAGGAUGGUGUAUCUGAUGCGACUAAACAGAUAGAUUAAUCAAUGGCAUGUCGAAAGUUGCAAUGCUCUCAGUGGAUGGAUGGGCUCCUUCAACCGUUGGUGCAUUUGAUAUUCGCAAUUCUUG